GCUGAGAUAGCAAAGAAGCUAAUGCAGAAGACUUAGGUUCUCCUACCGAAGGUUCAAUUCCUCCUCUCAGCU
rnacentral:tRNA from 1 species